AUUGAACGCUGGCGGCAUGCCUUACACAUGCAAGUCGAACGGUAACAGGUCUUCGGAUGCUGACGAGUGGCGAACGGGUGAGUAAUACAUCGGAACGUGCCUAGUAGUGGGGGAUAACUACUCGAAAGAGUGGCUAAUACCGCAUGAUAUCUACGGAUGAAAGCAGGGGAUCGCAAGACCUUGUGCUACUAGAGCGGCCGAUGGCAGAUUAGGUAGUUGGUGGGAUAAAAGCUUACCAAGCCGACGAUCUGUAGCUGGUCUGAGAGGACGAUCAGCCACACUGGGACUGAGACACGGCCCAGACUCCUAGGGGAGGCAGCAGUGGGGAAUUUUGGACAAUGGGCGAAAGCCUGAUCCAGCAAUGCCGCAUGCAGGAUGAAGGCCUUCGGGUUGUAAACUGCUUUUGUACGGAACGAAAAGCCCCGGGUUAAUACCCUGGGGUCAUGACGGUACCGUAAGAAUAAGCACCGGCUAACUACGUGCCAGCCGCCGCAGUAA
rnacentral:rRNA from 1 species